AGAAGAGCCAAUAUUUCAGUUUGAGUCUGAAGGCAGGAAAAGACUGAUGUCCCAUCUCAAAGCAGUCAGGCAGAGGGAGUUCCCUCUUGUUCUCACUCAAGGAAGGAUGGCGCAGUGCUCCCGCUGUUCCGAGGCUCAGCUACCCUGAGGGAGGCAGGGAAUUUUGAUCAGCUUCUGAAGAAUCACCUCAUCUCUCCCCGCAGAGAGCACAGAGCACAGGACUUCACGUUAUGUCAACAUCUCUUGCAAAAGCCCAGCUCCUAGAGAGCAGGAGCCUUCCCAGACUGUGUCAAAUUACCUCGGGGAUGGAGAGACUUACAUGGCAUUAAUAGAAAUCAAAUGGCAGAGCUCGGGUUUCUGAUGAGUCUCCUGAGGUUCAGAAGGGUGAGAUGACACAUUCAAGGUCACAUGGCUCAUUUGUGUUGGAGUCAGAAGUUUCCAGAUUUCUUGACUUUUAGUCCAAGGAGCAGUCCCUGUGCAUGUGUCAGAGUUGAACAAGCCAG
rnacentral:lncRNA from 1 species